rnacentral:rRNA from 1 species
UACGUAGGGUGCAAGCGUUAAUCGGAAUUACUGGGCGUAAAGCGUGCGCAGGCGGUUUUGUAAGUCUGUCGUGAAAGCCCCGGGCUCAACUUGGGAAUUGCGAUGGAGACUGCAAGGCUUGAAUCUGGCAGAGGGGGGUAGAAUUCCACGUGUAGCAGUGAAAUGCGUAGAGAUGUGGAGGAACACCGAUGGCGAAGGCAGCCCCCUGGGUCAAGAUUGACGCUCAUGCACGAAAGCGUGGGGAGCAAACAGG